CAAAGUUGGGAGACAAAAUUCUCUGAUUUGGGGUCCUUUAAAGACAGAAAAGCAUUUCGACCUGAAAUUUGCAAUAAUGCUAUGAUGGAUGAUGCUUAUGGAAACACAAUCAAGGUCUCAAAUAGUAAAUACAACUUGCAGAUUUGUAGAGGGGAUUUCUAAACAACUAUUGUAAAGCAACCAUCUUAACUUAAAAAUUCUUUUGUAAAGGUUAUAAAUUCCAAGGAUCUGUCAUUUGUAAGAUAUUCCAUCAUAUGUACAUCAACAUUUACAUACCUUUCCUUUGGCAAGUAAACAAGGUAUGCACUAACUUGCUUCAAAUUCUACUUAAUCACCAACUAAUUUCGAAUACAGAUGGUUUAUUUUUUAAUUCUACGCACAAUUAGCCUAUUUUCAGAAGGGUUUAAUCAUUACACCCGUUUUUGGCAUGUGGAUAAAACCUACACACAGCUACACAGACAAUUAAGGCAAGAAAAUACUUUGCUCCAUCUCAUAAAAGGGCAUUUUUACAACAUUUGGAUGAUUGCACAAAAGAACAAUCUUGAUAACAGUUGGCACACAAGAGAUUAAGUGACUUUGAGAGGUGUAAGUUGCAGAAACUCAUGAUCGUAUAACAACAGUACAUCAUAAAAACUUACUCUGUGAUAGACAGCGUAUCAUCAAUCAACCGAUACUCGUCAUAAACCCUAAUUUCCCACCAAGCGUAGCCACAGAUUAGAAGAAACAACACGUUCGGACGAUAGUUGGAUCCUUGAAAGAACAUGCAGUUGCCAUUGCUGAAUUGUUUAUGGUGGUCAUUAAAGACGCAGGAAGAAAAAGUAAGAUUUAGGAACGUCCCACAUCGGAGGGAGCAUAUGAAAGGGAAGAGGGGUGGUGUGAUAUAAAAAGAGGCGAAGGGGUAACGGAUUAAGCAUCUUUGCGCUUGGGGCAAUGACGCAGCUAAUGAGGUAAUAACCGAGGCGCGUCAAUUGCUGGUUGAAAACUAUUUCCAAACCCCCUCCUUGGCCUUGGGUCUCCCUUGGCCAUCGAGAAUUUCUGGAAGGGCUCCCUUUAUUGGGUAAGGCCCUACAA